UACGUAGGGUGCAAGCGUUGUCCGGAUUUAUUGGGCGUAAAGAGCUCGUAGGCGGCUUGUCGCGUCGAUCGUGAAAACUUGGGGCUCAACCCCAAGCCUGCGGUCGAUACGGGCAGGCUAGAGUUCGGUAGGGGAGACUGGAAUUCCUGGUGUAGCGGUGAAAUGCGCAGAUAUCAGGAGGAACACCGGUGGCGAAGGCGGGUCUCUGGGCCGAUACUGACGCUGAGGAGCGAAAGCGUGGGGGAGCGAACAGG
rnacentral:rRNA from 1 species